AUAAGCAGGCCUCCUGGAAAAGGAAAGAACAAUAUUAUGGUACAUUCUGUAUUUCAGCUCAAAUUCAGAAAUGAUUUUUUUUCUUUUGAAUCGAAAAAACUAACGUGAGGGAGGAAAAUACACAACUGAGACAGCCAUCUUCCAAAAAUAGUUUGUUACGUAUAAAGAAUGGUUACUGAAACCUGACAUUUUUUCAGCACUGGUGCCACAGGUUUCAUUUUGAACGAAUAGAACAGUUCCAGCCUUAGCGGUACUGUUAAAGGUACAGGAAUAGUGGCAUGACAAGUGCAGACACGGCACAUACUUUGUUGUUUAGAGAAAAAAACAGCUCUCUUUUCCUCUCACAGCCUGCUUGUCCUAUGCAGUGCGACUGAUCAAAAAGGGACAGGCUGUUAACAACACAGGAUUAUGUGACAUCGCAAUCAGCAUGGUGUUUAUUGAAGUAGCCAAACAUAGAUGCUACACGUUAGCAUGUCGAUUCUGACACUGUUGUGCAACCAGAGCUGAUUAAAUAAUUACCUGACAUGCUUGUUUAUUUCAGUGUUUAUUCCUGAACCUGCCACUGACCGGAUGCUCCGGUGCAGCAUUUUAUUUUAGGUACAAAGCGACGUGCUAAAACUAAAAUAUCGAUCAAGUAACUUUAGCAUUGAUAUGGUCCGUGUAACAGGGUUGUUAUUGUUUAUUGAAUUUUGUCAAAAUACAAUUACAGUUUUUUUAUAUUUUACUUGUUUUGCACCAAAUAUUUGCAAGGAGUUAUAAAAUGUGUUCUUAUUGUCUGGGAAAACUGUUUUAAUCCAAUCUUACAUGUAUUCAGGGUUCUUUUUGUUUAUGUGGUUUUGGCGCCUCCUAGUGGCGGGUGGUGGUAAAUAUAACCGCAGGACGUUAGCAGCCCAUCCCCUUUUGCUGCCCGACGUUCUGUGAGAAGGGGCAGGAGCUACGAUCAGACCACCACCAACCACUUUUAUGUUUUCUGUAACAGGUAUGGUUAUGUUUUUGAAAYGAAUGUUCAUUUGUAACAUCUUGGAGAGGUUAUGUGUGUUUUAUGUGUUCGUUUUAUUUUGAUGAAAAUUAUAUUGUCUUAAAAACUAUACGAUCACAUUGUUAAAAGUUAGAGGCCGACCCCUUUUGCUGCCCGACGUUCUGUGAGAAGGGGCAGGAGCUACGAUCAGACCACCACCAACCACUUUUAUGUUUUCUGUAACAGUUGGUGUGAAUAAAUGGUGUGAAGCCGAGAGAA